UCGAGCGGACAGAUGGGAGCUUGCUCCCUGAUGUUAGCGGCGGACGGGUGAGUAACACGUGGGUAACCUGCCUGUAAGACUGGGAUAACUCCGGGAAACCGGGGCUAAUACCGGAUGGUUGUUUGAACCGCAUGGUUCAGACAUAAAAGGUGGCUUCGGCUACCACUUACAGAUGGACCCGCGGCGCAUUAGCUAGUUGGUGAGGUAACGGCUCACCAAGGCAACGAUGCGUAGCCGACCUGAGAGGGUGAUCGGCCACACUGGGACUGAGACACGGCCCAGACUCCUACGGGAGGCAGCAGUAGGGAAUCUUCCGCAAUGGACGAAAGUCUGACGGAGCAACGCCGCGUGAGUGAUGAAGGUUUUCGGAUCGUAAAGCUCUGUUGUUAGGGAAGAACAAGUGCCGUUCAAAUAGGGCGGCACCUUGACGGUACCUAACCAGAAAGCCACGGCUAACUACGUGCCAGCAGCCGCGGUAAUACGUAGGUGGCAAGCGUUGUCCGGAAUUAUUGGGCGUAAAGGGCUCGCAGGCGGUUUCUUAAGUCUGAUGUGAAAGCCCCCGGCUCAACCGGGGAGGGUCAUUGGAAACUGGGGAACUUGAGUGCAGAAGAGGAGAGUGGAAUUCCACGUGUAGCGGUGAAAUGCGUAGAGAUGUGGAGGAACACCAGUGGCGAAGGCGACUCUCUGGUCUGUAACUGACGCUGAGGAGCGAAAGCGUGGGGAGCGAACAGGAUUAGAUACCCUGGUAGUCCACGCCGUAAACGAUGAGUGCUAAGUGUUAGGGGGUU
rnacentral:rRNA from 1 species